GGCAACUACUGGCAAGCUGCCGCGGUAAUACGUAGUGGGCAAUCGUUGUCCGGAAUUAUUUGGCGGAAAGCGCGCGCAGGCUGUCCUUUAAGUCUGAUGGGAAAGCCCACGGCUCAACCGUGGAGGGUCAUUGGAAACUGGGGGACUUGAGUGCAGAAGAGGAAAGCGGAAUUCCACGUGUAGCGGUGAAAUGCGUAGAGAUGUGGAGGAACACCAGUGGCGAAGGCGGCUUUCUGGUCUGUAACUGACGCUGAGGCGCGAAAGCGUGGGGAGCAAACAGGAUUAGAUACCCCAGUAGUC
rnacentral:rRNA from 1 species